CCUCCUUAACGAGAACUCAGUAGCCUCUCGGUAAAGUGCCUACCUCUAUUACUUGAUCCUGUAGAUUUUUAGAACAUAAAGUCUGCAAUGGUUUCGAAAGACACAGAUGGGUCUGUAGCUCAGCUUGGUUAGAGCGCAUCCCUGAUAAGGAUGAGGCCGGUGGUUCAAGUCCACCCAGGCCCACCAGUUUCAGUGGGGGAUUAGCUCAGCUGGUAGAGCGCCUGCUUUGCAAGCAGGAGGUCAGCGGUUCGACCCCGCUAUCCUCCACCAAAUUAUGGUACAAAAGGUGAUGCAGCUUAAGCAGAAGAUAAGCUUCAGCAAUUAUUUAAUAACUUCUGAAUUUUAUUUUUUAAUAUCUUAGACAAUUGAAUCGGAGGUUUUGGAGACACAAGAUCAAAUAUGAGGGUCUCCAAGGGUUGACGAUCUUGACUGUUAAAGUCAGGUAGUAAGGGCGCAGGGCGGAUGCCUUGGCUCUGGGAAGCGAAAAAGGACGUGGCCAGCUGCGAUAAGCCUCGGGGAAAAACAACAUCUUUUGAUCCGGGGAAUUCCGAAUGGGGAA
rnacentral:misc_RNA from 1 species